rnacentral:misc_RNA from 1 species
GUCAAAGAUAAGUUUUAUUAAUAGAUUAAGAGAUUUAGUAUAAGGCACAAGGCCAAAUUACAUACCAACAGAAACAAGGCCAAAAACACUAAAAGGAGACAAAAACUAAGGCCUAGCCCUAUAACGCAUACAAGAACAAAGGAUUAAAAUCCCCACAUCCUAUAACCCUAGCAUAACCAAGGUUGGAAGCAACUGUCUUCAAGCAUCGCUACUUGCUUCACUAUGUGGAAGAGAGAAUAGGGAUCCCAAUAUUGAAACAGCCUCCAUGCAUCAGGAAACCAAGCUUCCAAAGAAUAACAAGCAUCUCAACCAUAAAAGCAUAACACCUUUUCAGCAAUUUAUAAGGAGGGCAAAUGACAAAGCUCCUAUAGCAUGCAAGCCUUAAAGGUUAAUGACCUUUAGAGAAGUUGGCAAAGAUAACUUAGAGAUACCAUUCUCAAGCUAAAACUUCAAUGCUCUAUAACUUAGAGAUACCAUUCUCAAGCUAAAACUUCAAUGCUCUUUUUCAUAGGUAGGCCAAGCCAUAAACAAGCUCAGCCUAUGGCUUUGUUAGAGCAGAAACUAAAAACGCAGGCAGAUCUUUCUCUUUGUCCCUCACCCAUAAAUCGUUGAUCUGUUAACAAAAGAAACCAAGCCAAAGCUAUUCUCAACCCCUCCUGGAUGUGGAGAGGAAGAGAUCCACUGUCUAGGCAAAGUGAAAGGAAAAGCCAACCCCUACACGAAAGGGAUAGGGAUGACCGCUUAACAGCUGGAAGAAGAGAACCUAAGCCAUGAAGAGAAAAUUGGAAUUUAAGAGAAAAUUUCUCCCUCUAGAAUCAGAGAAAGAACUUAAAAUUUUAAAAUUAUAGAUUGUUAGUGAUGCUAAGA